UACGUAGGGCGCGAGCGUUGUCCGGAAUUAUUGGGCGUAAAGAGCUCGUAGGCGGCUUGUCACGUCGGGUGUGAAAGCCCGGGGCUUAACCCCGGGUCUGCAUUCGAUACGGGCUAGCUAGAGUGUGGUAGGGGAGAUCGGAAUUCCUGGUGUAGCGGUGAAAUGCGCAGAUAUCAGGAGGAACACCGGUGGCGAAGGCGGGUCUCUGGGCCGUAACUGACGCUGAGGAGCGAAAGCAUGGGGAGCGAACAGG
rnacentral:rRNA from 1 species